rfam:Oryza sativa Indica Group cultivar 93-11 Ctg036498, whole genome shotgun sequence.
UAUAAGGGAUUUUGAGUUUUUGCUGGUAACGUUUGAUCACUCGUCUUAUUUAAAAAAUUUUAAAAUUAUUAUUUAAUUUAUUUGUGACUUACUUUAUUAUCUACGGUACUUUAAGUACAACUUUUUGUUUUUUAUAUUUGUAAAAAAAAAUUGAAUAAGACGAGUGAUCAAACGUUGCAAUCAAAAACUCAAAAUCCCUCAUAUU